GCCGGGCGCGGUGGCUCACGCCUGUAAUCCCAGCACUUUGGGAGGCUGAGGCAGGCGGAUCACCUGAGGUCAGGAGUUUGAGACCAGCCUGACCAACAUGGUGAAACCCCGUCUCUA
rfam:Homo sapiens chromosome 14, GRCh38 reference primary assembly.